AAGUCGUAACAAGGUUUCCGUAGGUGAACCUGCGGAAGGAUCAUUACCUAGAGUUGUAGGCUUUGCCUGCUAUCUCUUACCCAUGUCUUUUGAGUACCUUACGUUUCCUCGGUGGGUUCGCCCACCGAUUGGACAAAUUUAAACCCUUUGCAGUUGAAAUCAGCGUCUGAAAAAACUUAAUAGUUACAACUUUCAACAACGGAUCUCUUGGUUCUGGCAUCGAUGAAGAACGCAGCGAAAUGCGAUAAGUAGUGUGAAUUGCAGAAUUCAGUGAAUCAUCGAAUCUUUGAACGCACAUUGCGCCCCUUGGUAUUCCAUGGGGCAUGCCUGUUCGAGCGUCAUUUGUACCUUCAAGCUCUGCUUGGUGUUGGGUGUUUGUCUCCUGUAGACUCGCCUUAAAACAAUUGGCAGCCGGCGUAUUGAUUUCGGAGCGCAGUACAUCUCGCGCUUUGCACUCAUAACGACGACAUCCAAAAGUACAUUUUUACACUCUUGACCUCGGAUCAGGUAGGGAUACCCGCUGAACUUAAG
rnacentral:rRNA from 2 species